AACGUUUUAUUAAGCAGUUGUUUCCUGAUCCUCGCCGACGCCAUCCCUGCUUCGAAUUCCCUGGAUCCACCGGGGCUGGACCCCGGCAGCCUUCCCCAUCCCACUCCCUGCCUCCAACUCAGGACCAACCAGAGUGGAUACUUUAUCGCUGAGCUACUAGGGAAGCCCUGGGAUACUGCGCUUCUUCCAUCAAAUCACAUAGUAUAAGUACAGAGGAGCCUAUAGGAUUAAGUCCAGAAUUGAUACAUCAAAGGAAGCUUGGAGAGAAGUGCUGCUUCAGAUGUUCCAGCCAGCAUAACCAUGGAGCUCUGCCCCGAGUCUUGAUAUUAAAGAUUUAUUGAAAAUCUG